rnacentral:rRNA from 1 species
UACGGAGGGGACUAGCGUUGUUCGGAAUUAUUGGGCGUAAAGCGCUCGCAGGUGGUUCGUUGCGUCGUGCGUGAAAGACCCCGGCUCAACUGGGGAGGGUCGUGCGAUACGGGCGAACUGGAGGCCAGUAGGGGGAUGCGGAAUUCCGGGUGUAGUGGUGGAAUGCGUAGAGAUCCGGAGGAACACCAGCGGCGAAGGCGGCAUCCUGGACUGGUCCUGACACUCAUGAGCGAAAGCGUGGGGAGCGAUCCGG